UAAGGGGGGAUUUCAUCAGAAUGAAGCUAAAAGCAAUUACACAAUUCAACUAAAACUAAAUAAUUAACUAGCACGAAUAUAGCAAGAAUUAAAUCAAGAAUAAAUAAAUCCUAGCCAAGGAUGCAACUAUUCAGGCACAGUCCAUUUAUCCGAUCAUUGACGCAAGAGAGGUUCACUUAAUUUAUUAAUAGACUAGUUAUAGCCAUCGAGGAGCUCUAAUGACCAAUUUUUCCCUAAUUUAUAGAUGACCAAGGUACGACCAUUAAUCACCCCUAACCAGAAAAGUAUUCCUAGGUACGACCGUAGGAAUUAAUUUUCCAAUUGCAUUAAUAGCCAGAAAAACCUAGCCCUAAUCAAUAACACGCUACGAGGGUUAUUUAAAUUAGAUUGCACAUUCCCCUAAUGUGUAAACACACCAGUUGCCACUAAUAUUAAUCAAUCAAACAAUUACGGAUUUAACUGACUAAAUUGGCACGAGAUUAAUAAAUCACCUUGAAUAUCGGGCCCUUGAGAUCCAAGUAAUAAAAUAAUCCCAUGAAAAUACAAGCAGGCAACGUGCAAAUAUUAAUAAAUUAAGGAACGCGUGAAAACUAAUUAGAUCUCACAGAUUUUCGGGACUGCGCCGUCGAGUUGACCCUUGACUAGAUGGAAGACUUAGCCACGCCGCAUAAUUAAAUCACCACACGAGUUAAUAAAUUGCGAAGGCAUUGCUUUUUACUAGAAAGUAAGGAAUAAAGAAUGUUUUUCCCGUUGGGGAAUAUUGUCAAACACCUGACGUGCGUCAGAGGCUAGUCCCAGGAAAAGAAAGAAAAAACUAAAGCUAAACUAAAAGCUAAAACUAAAAAGGUAAACUGAAAGCUCCCCGUCUCCUGUACGCUUGUUCCCUAUUUAAAGCCAAAAGAAAGAUAUCCAGUGAUCCCCACCAAUUGGCCACAAGCUGCCGAAUUCAUCUCCUUGUUUUGAGCCCCUGUGCGGUCCCACCAAUUAGCCACAAGCCUCCCAAUUACUUCUUAGUUCUCUGGCUCUCUACGUUGCUCUUAAGAGCCAAAUGACUAAAGCCCUUGUCCUUUCCUCCGUGGUCCCUGCUGAAGUCAAAGGCCCAAGCCUUGAAGUUCUCUCUGCCGCAGUCCCUGAUUGUAGUCUUCUUAGUCAACAAAAGUAAAGGAACGGAACUCCAGUUCUUUUCGGCACUGUAGCUUGCUUGAAGUCUCAAUUAUCUUCAGAAAGACCCUCAUGUUUGGUAGUUGUCUGUUCCAUUCCUGAAAUUGAUUCCAAAUACCAAAUAUGAGUAAAUAUCAGCAAUUAACACAAUAAAUGUCGGGGUAGAAGGGAAAAUUAAUAAUAAAAUUACUAACAAAUUAUACCCUAUCAGCUAUCAAGGAAAAAGAUUUGAAGCCAAGAUGUGUAAGAUCUAUGUCACAUUGCUGCUUCGUGGAACAACAUUGAUGCACAAGGACUAGUUCGCAUGAAAGCAAUUUUGCAAAUAAAAUACCAUGUAAAAUGUCAGUUUGAUGAACUUAGGUUGACCUUAUAUGUUUCCCCAUUUAAUUCUCGUAAAAUUGAUUUCCAUAAUUUUAUCUUUACAGCGUUCCCAUCCACCAACUGGGAUCCUUUUUUGAAUACAAAAUUGUGCCUUAGCAAUUCAGUUUUCUAAAUUGCUCUCUGAUUAACAUAAAGUAGAAGGGCUCAUGCUCACUGAUUCUUGUGCUCUAGUCCUGUCUUGAGCUUUACAGAUACAACGAGCAAUGGAAAUGUAUCAUUGGCACAACCGCAGAACACUUGAGAAAAAAUAUGUUGCCUGUUACAGAGCUAAGAUACAACUUCAAGAAGGAUGCAAGCACCUAUCAGGGUUCAGCUAAUCCACAUCCUUCUGCUACAAAAUACUAGCUACUUUGAACUACAAGCAGUACGGAAGAUAUGGCAAAUUGAGUUCCAAAAGAAGUAAAAUAGCACCUCAUUUAACAUAUCUACAAAUUGCUGAAUCGGUUGGACAGUUUAACAACACCAGACAGACAAGGAAGAUCUUAGGCUUUGGCCAUCCGAGGCAGGGAGCAAAAGGGAUUUCCAUCCUGGAUGUUUUCAUUUGAUCUUGACUGAAACAGGAUCUGGUUCAGCAAGGGAUCAUAUUAAAAGUACCAAGGAUAGUAAGUAAGAGCUAUCAGGGUUAAUGUUGAUCUUUGAGUGCAAAAUCACAGCAAAACACAAAAACUCAAACUUAAGAAACUCAAGACAGCAUGUAGUCAAGAAUAAAGCCAGCACUUAGUUGCAUGACAUUUUUUGUUGUAUUUGAAACACUAAAAUAAGAACUUACCAUGAAGAGAGGAGCAACCAACAAGUAUAGGUGGCAGAAUGAGCUUAAUAGCCUUCAUCACAGCGGAUGAAAUAAUUGCAGCAAGUAGCAGCAGUCUCGACUAACCACAGCGAUAUGCUUCAAAACUUGCAGCUUAGACUUGAUUGUGUUAGAAGAUACUCUUAACAAUUCUGUGCAGCUUUACUGCAUGAACAGUACAUC
rnacentral:lncRNA from 1 species